AUUAUAUUAUUAAUUAAUAUAAUUAAUAGGAAUUAAGACAAAUCAUAAUGACCUUUAUAAUAUGGGCUAUAAACAUGCUAUAAUAAUUUGAUAAUAAAAUUAUAAUAAUAUUAUAACAAAAAUAAUAAAAUUAAUAAUUGAAAACAAAUUAAUUUUUAAUAUAAUUAUAUAUUAUAUUAUAAUAUGAAUUAUUAUCUGUAAUUUGAUAAUAUGAAAUAAGAAUUACUAGUAAUACGUAAAUAAUUAUGUUACGGUGAAUAUUCUAACUGUUUCGCACUAAUUACUCAUCACACAUUGAAAUAUAUAUUUAUCUUAUUAAUAUAUAUAUAUAUUAUUAUAUCUUUUAAUAUUAUAUAUAUUAUUAUAUGAAAAUUUAUUAAUUAAUGUGAAGUU
rnacentral:rRNA from 1 species